GGCGGAUGUAGCCAAGUGGAUUAAGGCAGUGGAUUU
rnacentral:tRNA from 1 species